rnacentral:rRNA from 1 species
GACAGAGGGUGCAAACGUUGUUCGGAAUUACUGGGCGUAAAGCGAGUGUAGGCGGUUUGGUAAGUCGGAUGUGAAGGCCCCGGGCUCAACCCGGGAAGUGCACUCGAUACUGCCAAGCUAGAGUAUCGGAGAGGUUGGUGGAAUUCUCGGUGUAGAGGUGAAAUUCGUAGAUAUCGAGAGGAACACCGGUGGCGAAGGCGGCCAACUGGACGAAUACUGACGCUGAGACUCGAAAGCGUGGGGAGCAAACAGG